rnacentral:rRNA from 1 species
AGAGUUUGAUCCUGGCUCAGGACGAACGCUGGCGGCGUGCUUAACACAUGCAAGUCGAACGGAAAGGCCCUUUCGGGGGUACUCGAGUGGCGAACGGGUGAGUAACACGUGGGUGAUCUGCCCUGCACUUUGGGAUAAGCCUGGGAAACUGGGUCUAAUACCGAAUACACCCUGCUGGUCGCAUGGCCUGGUGGGGGAAAGCUUUUGCGGUGUGGGAUGGGCCCGCGGCCUAUCAGCUUGUUGGUGGGGUGAUGGCCUACCAAGGCGACGACGGGUAGCCGGCCUGAGAGGGUGUCCGGCCACACUGGGACUGAGAUACGGCCCAGACUCCUACGGGAGGCAGCAGUGGGGAAUAUUGCACAAUGGGCGCAAGCCUGAUGCAGCGACGCCGCGUGAGGGAUGACGGCCUUCGGGUUGUAAACCUCUUUCAGUACCGACGAAGCGCAAGUGACGGUAGGUACAGAAGAAGCACCGGCCAACUACGUGCCAGCAGCCGCGGUAAUACGUAGGGUGCGAGCGUUGUCCGGAAUUACUGGGCGUAAAGAGCUCGUAGGUGGUUUGUCGCGUUGUUCGUGAAAACUCACAGCUUAACUGUGGGCGUGCGGGCGAUACGGGCAGACUGGAGUACUGCAGGGGAGACUGGAAUUCCUGGUGUAGCGGUGGAAUGCGCAGAUAUCAGGAGGAACACCGGUGGCGAAGGCGGGUCUCUGGGCAGUAACUGACGCUGAGGAGCGAAAGCGUGGGGAGCGAACAGGAUUAGAUACCCUGGUAGUCCACGCCGUAAACGGUGGGUACUAGGUGUGGGUUUCCUUCCUUGGGAUCCGUGCCGUAGCUAACGCAUUAAGUACCCCGCCUGGGGAGUACGGCCGCAAGGCUAAAACUCAAAGGAAUUGACGGGGGCCCGCACAAGCGGCGGAGCAUGUGGAUUAAUUCGAUGCAACGCGAAGAACCUUACCUGGGUUUGACAUGCACAGGACGCCGGCAGAGAUGUCGGUUCCCUUGUGGCCUGUGUGCAGGUGGUGCAUGGCUGUCGUCAGCUCGUGUCGUGAGAUGUUGGGUUAAGUCCCGCAACGAGCGCAACCCUUGUCUCAUGUUGCCAGCGGGUAAUGCCGGGGACUCGUGAGAGACUGCCGGGGUCAACUCGGAGGAAGGUGGGGAUGACGUCAAGUCAUCAUGCCCCUUAUGUCCAGGGCUUCACACAUGCUACAAUGGCCGGUACAAAGGGCUGCGAUGCCGUGAGGUGGAGCGAAUCCUUUCAAAGCCGGUCUCAGUUCGGAUCGGGGUCUGCAACUCGACCCCGUGAAGUCGGAGUCGCUAGUAAUCGCAGAUCAGCAACGCUGCGGUGAAUACGUUCCCGGGCCUUGUACACACCGCCCGUCACGUCAUGAAAGUCGGUAACACCCGAAGCCGGUGGCCUAACCCCUUGUGGGAGGGAGCCGUCGAAGGUGGGAUCGGCGAUUGGGACGAAGUCGUAACAAGGUAGCCGUA